UUUAAGGCUCCUGAAGGAACGUUGAAGACGACGACGUUGAUAGGUCGGGUGUGUAAGCGCAGCGAUGCGUUGAGCUAACCGAUACUAAUGAACCGUGAGGCUUAACCUUACAACGCCGAAGC
rnacentral:rRNA from 1 species